rnacentral:rRNA from 1 species
AGUGAACGCUGGCGGCAGGCCUAACACAUACAAGUCGAACGGCAGCACAGUAAGAGCUUGCUCUUACGGGUGGCGGGUGGCGGACGGGUGAGGAAUACAUCGGAAUCUACUUUUUCGUGGGGGAUAACGUAGGGAAACUUACGCUAAUACCGCAUACGACCUACGGGUGAAAGCAGGGGAUCUUCGCACCUUGCGCGAUUGAAUGAGCCGAUGUCGGAUUAGCUAGUUGGCGGGGUAAAGGCCCACCAAGGCGACGAUCCGUAGCUGGUCUGAGAGGAUGAUCAGCCACACUGGAACUGAGACACGGUCCAGACUCCUACGGGAGGCAGCAGUGGGGAAUAUUGGACAAUGGGCGCAAGCCUGAUCCAGCCAUACCGCGUGGGUGAAGAAGGCCUUCGGGUUGUAAAGCCCUUUUGUUGGGAAAGAAAAGCAGCAGGUUAAUACCCCGCUGUUCUGACGGUACCCAAAGAAUAAGCACCGGCUAACUUCGUG